AGUGAACGCUGGCGGUAGGCCUAACACAUGCAAGUCGAACGGCAGCACAGUAAGAGCUUGCUCUUACGGGUGGCGAGUGGCGGACGGGUGAGGAAUACAUCGGAAUCUACUUUUUCGUGGGGGAUAACGUAGGGAAACUUACGCUAAUACCGCAUACGACCUACGGUUGAAAGCAUUGGAUCUUCGGACCUUUCGCGAUUGUAUGAGCCGAUGUCGGAUUAGCUAGUUGGCGGGGUAAAGGCCCACCAAGGCGACGAUCCGUAGCUGGUCUGAGAGGAUGAACAGACACACUGGAACUGAGACACGGGCCAGACUCCUACGGGAGGCAGCAGUGGGGAAUAUUGGACAAUGGGCGCAAGCAUGAUCCAGCCAGACCGCGUGGGUGAAGAAGGCCUUCGGGUUGUAAAGCCCUUUUGUUGGGAAAGAAAAGCAGCAGGUUAAUACCCCGCUGUUCUGACGGUACCCAAAGAAUAAGCACCGGCUAACUUCGUG
rnacentral:rRNA from 1 species